GAAAUGCGAUAAGUAAUGUGAAUUGCAGAAUUCAGUGAAUCAUCGAAUCUUUGAACGCACAUUGCGCCCUUUGGUAUUCCGAAGGGCAUGCCUGUUCGAGCGUCAUUUAAACUCUCAAGCUUUGCUUGGUAUUGAGUGAGAUCUCAAAAAAGAUCUACUCGAAACUUGUUGGACUUUUCUAGGCUCACCUUGAAAUGAUUAGUGCUUGUGUAGUCUUACAAGUAGCGGAGUAGAAUCUGCUUCCUUGGGGGCGUCACGGCACUGUAAACCACUUUUUCUUAUUUUUGACCUCGGAUCAGAUAGGGAUACCCGCUGAACUUAA
rnacentral:misc_RNA from 1 species